rnacentral:rRNA from 1 species
CCUACGGGAGGCAGCAGUGGGGAAUAUUGCACAAUGGGGGAAACCCUGAUGCAGCGACGCCGCGUGAGCGAAGAAGUAUUUCGGUAUGUAAAGCUCUAUCAGCAGGGAAGAAGAAUGACGGUACCUGACUAAGAAGCACCGGCUAAAUACGUGCCAGCAGCCGCGGUAAUA